rnacentral:lncRNA from 1 species
GAGUAUUUAUUCACUGAUCACACCAUCUUUUGAUUUCUAUUUGUUUCUUGUUGUUUCUUUUUGUUUCUUUUUGCAUUGUUCUUACCCCUUUUUGCACACACCAGAAUUUUUUUUCACACUCCUAGCGCACACACACAAAAUUUUGUAGCUAAUUGCUUUACUCAACAUAGAUAACAAGGCUGAAAGAGUUUCCUUAUCUCAUGACCCCAUUGAUUUGCCACCCCUUUAAGCUUAAAUUGAAUCAUUCACAGUAUGUUACCUUCACUUAGGGAGUUUUUCUCUUGAAUUGAAUCCUCAAAUUUGCUAAGGUCAAGGGAAAUAAAAAUACAAAUACAUGCAAACACAAAGUUAGUGUAACUCCCUAAGAGCUGAUUUGCCCAAAAUAUCAUGAAAAACCAGCAUAAAGCACAAAUCAUAAACAUGUUCCAAUGGUCUAAGACUAUGAACUGAGCCUAAUAGCCACUUGGAGAAGUGACUGACUGAGUAACCGGGGGUGUAUCACCCAUGUACACAAUCGCGUAAAAAGGUCAGUGACUUUUUCAAGCAAAUAAGUUUCGAUGGUCUAGACUAUGAACAGAGCUAGUAGCCACUUGAACAAGUGACUAACUGAGUAACCGGGGGUGUAUCACCCAUGUACACAAUCGCGUAAAAAUGUUAGUGACUUUUUCAGGCAAGGAUAAGAAUAAGUGCUGCUGAAAAUAAAAAUAAAAAUAAAAAUAAAAAAAAAACAAAAAAAAAGAGAGAAGAGAAAAGGGGCAAGUCACUCCUAGGGGUUGCAUUAAAACUAACAUAAAGGAUUAAGCAUAAUUGAUUCAAAAACCUUUCUCUUGACCAUGGUAGGUGAAAGGAAACAAGGAAAGGAGAGGAUGACCUUAGUGCAUGUACUCUAUACUGUGAUAAUUCAGAUUAGGAGUCUAGGGGGGCUGAUUAAGUGGUACUUAGGCUCUAAGGAAAAAGGGGGCUUGAUUGGCUAAGUUAUUUGUUGCUUGAGGACAAGCAAAAAGCUAGGUGUGGGGGUAUUUGAUCAAGCAUAAUUUAGCCACAUUUUUAUCAUAAUUAUUAUUGCUUAUUUAUACAUUUUUCAGUUUAAUUUAUGGUUUUUAUCUUGUUUUUACAGAAAAGGAAGAAAUUGAAAAAUGGAAGAAAAAGUGCAGAAAAUUUACAAAAGGAUGAUUUGCCCAGUGAUUUGCCCAAGAUCACCAGAUAAUCUGCUCCAAUCACUGCCCAGAUCAAGCUGAAGCAGAAACCCGGAGGCAACAGGCAGUAGUGAUAUGGCAAGUGAUUUGCCCAAGACACUCGAAGAUCACUGGCCAAAUCACUCGCAGANNN